GACGAACGCUGGCGGCGUGCUUAACACAUGCAAGUCGAACGGAAAGGCCCUGCUUUUGUGGGGUGCUCGAGUGGUGAACGGGUGAGUAACACGUGAGUAACCUGCCCUUGACUUUGGGAUAACUUCAGGAAACUGGGGCUAAUACCGGAUAGGAGCUCCUGCUGCAUGGUGGGGGUUGGACAGUUUCGGCGGUUGGGGAUGGACUCGCGGCUUAUCAGCUUGUUGGUGGGGUAGUGGCUUACCAAGGCUUUGACGGGUAGCCGGCCUGAGAGGGUGACCGGCCACAUUGGGACUGCGAGACGGCCCAGACUCCUACGGGAGGCAGCAGUGGGGAAUAUUGCACAAUGGGCGGAAGCCUGAUGCAGCAACGCCGCGUGCGGGAUGACGGCCUUCGGGUUGUAAACCGCUUUCGCCUGUGACGAAGCGUGAGUGACGGUAAUGGGUAAAGAAGCACCGGCUAACUACGUG
rnacentral:rRNA from 1 species